rnacentral:rRNA from 1 species
UGGGGAAUUUUGGACAAUGGGCGAAAGCCUGAUCCAGCAAUGCCGCGUGUGUGAAGAAGGCCUUCGGGUUGUAAAGCACUUUUGUCCGGAAAGAAAUCCUUGGCUCUAAUACAGUCGGGGGAUGACGGUACCGGAAGAAUAAGCACCGGCUAACUACGUGCCAGCAGCCGCGGUAAUACGUAGGGUGCAAGCGUUAAUCGGAAUUACUGGGCGUAAAGCGUGCGCAGGCGGUUUGCUAAGACCGAUGUGAAAUCCCCGGGCUCAACCUGGGAACUGCAUUGGUGACUGGCAGGCUAGAGUAUGGCAGAGGGGGGUAGAAUUCCACGUGUAGCAGUGAAAUGCGUAGAGAUGUGGAGGAAUACCGAUGGCGAAGGCAGCCCCCUGGGCCAAAUACUGACGCUCAUGCACGAAAGCGUGGGGAGCAAACAGGAUUAGAUACCCUGGUAGUCCACGCCCUAAACGAUGUCAACUAGUUGUUGGGGAUUCAUUCCUUAGUAACGUAGCUAACGCGUGAAGUUGACCGCCUGGGGAGUACGGUCGCAAGAUUAAAACUCAAAUGAAUUGAC